AGGUCAGCGGUCAUGGACUUGGAUCUGAGUGUCAGCGAGGUGCUAGGGGCUCUUUUUGGAGGGGGUGGAGCUAAGAGAUCAGAAACAAGUCGUUGCUGGGAAGCUCAGAUGAAUAGAACAGACUGGUGCAGUGGACAGUGAAGGUGGCACCUUUCUUCCUGAUGAGGUUAGACUCGGACUUCCUGGAGACGGACACGACUUUCAUCAACAGCCGACUUCCUCCCUGACGAAUCAGAGCCACCACCUGACGGUGACCCACCUUCACCACAUCAUUACCGUUCACCUGAGCCGCACACACACACAGGACGAAGCCGAACCCCUCGCUGUCUCUCUUCUGCAGCACCGCUGUCUUCUCCUCAAUCACAUAAUCGCUGCGAUACAGAGAACGACUGAUGAAUAAAAAGUCUGCAGGAAACCAGCCUGUUCUUCCUUUGACGCUUCCUUCCCAGAACCCCCCCUCGCCGAUGGACAACACUGCGAACAAAACGCUUUCUGGAUCUCUCCUGGACCCUGAGGGACGUGGGAGCGGGUGGCGAUGAAGGUGCGCCCCGGGACAGCACUGUAGAGCCUCCUCUUUCGCAUCUGAGGUGUCAGAGGAGGAGAGGAGGGGGGACUGGUCUCUACAUGACCCCC